GAACGCGAAGAACCUUACCAGGGUUUGACAUGCUGGUGGUAGAAGCCCGAAAGGGUGACGACCUUCGGUUUUCCGAGGGAGCCAGCACAGGUGCUGCAUGGUUGUCGUCAGCUCGUGUCGUGAGAUGUUGGGUUAAGUCCCGUAACGAGCGCAACCCCUGCCCUUAGUUGCCAUCGGGUAAUGCCGGGAACUCUAAGGGGACUGCCUUGGUUAACGAGGAGGAAGGUGGGGACGACGUCAAGUCAUCACGGCCUUUAUGUCCAGGGCUACACACGUGCUACAAUGGCCGGGCACAAAGGGCUGCGAACCCGCGAGGGGGAGCCAAUCCCAAAAAUCCGGCCUCAGUUCGGGAUUGCAGUCUGCAACUCGACUGGAUGAAGUUGGAAUCGCUAGUAAUCGCGAAUCAGGCGGGUCGCGGGUGAAUAC
rnacentral:rRNA from 1 species